rnacentral:rRNA from 1 species
UCUUUAGGGUUCACGCCCAGAAGAGCCACAGUGAAUAGGCCCAAGCGACUGUUUAUCAAAAACACAGGUCUCUGCUAAACCGUAAGGUGAUGUAUAGGGGCUGACGCCUGCCCGGUGCUGGAAGGUUAAGAGGAGUGGUUAGCUUCUGCGAAGCUACGAAUCGAAGCCCCAGUAAACGGCGGCCGUAACUAUAACGGUCCUAAGGUAGCGAAAUUCCUUGUCGGGUAAGUUCCGACCCCCA